rnacentral:miRNA from 1 species
UUUAAAUAAAUGAUUACAAAGCCCAGUCGAAUUGUAAUCAAGGGUCUUGAUUACAAGGUCUUGAUUACAAUUCGACUGGGCUUUGUAAUAAUUUAUUUA